CGGAAAUCAAAAAAAAAUUUAAAUUUUGGAAAAGUAGCUCAAAAAGUUUGCCGCCAGCAGGGGUCGAACCUGCGACCUUGGGCUUAUUAGACCCACGCUCUAACCGACUGAGCUAUGGCGGCCGAUGAGAGAGUA
ensembl:ncRNA T21B4.19 ncRNA